rnacentral:rRNA from 1 species
CCUACGGGAGGCAACAGUGAGGAAUAUUGGUCAAUGGACGAGAGUCUGAACCAGCCAAGUAGCGUGAAGGAUGACUGCCCUAUGGGUUGUAAACUUCUUUUAUAUGGGAAUAAAAUGUUCCACGUGUGGGAUUUUGUAUGUACCAUAUGAAUAAGGAUCGGCUAACUCCGUGCAAGCAGCGGCGGUAAUACGGAGGAUCCGAGCGUUAUCCGGAUUUAUUGGGGUUAAAGGGAGCGUAGGUGGAUUGUUAAGUCAGUUGUGAAAGUUUGCGGCUCAACCGGAAAAUUGCAGUUGAGAAUGGCAGUCUUGAGUACAGUAGAGGUGGGCGGAAUGCGUGGUGUAGCGGUGAAAUGCUUAGAUAUCACGAAGAACUCCGAUUGCGAAGGCAGUUCACUGGACUGCAACUGACACUGAGGCUCGAAAGUGUGGGUAUCAAACAGGAUUAGAUACCCUAGUAGUC